UGCCCAAGGAUUCAACGGCCGCGGUACUCUGACCGUGCGAAGGUAGCACAAUCACUUGUUCUUUAAAUGAGGACUAGAAUCAAUGGCAUCACGAGGGUCACAUUGUCUCCUUUUUCUAAUCAGUGAAAUUGAUCUCCCCGUGAAGAAGCGGGGAUAACCUUAUAAGACGAGAAGACCCCACGGAGCUUCAAACUCAACGGAUAACUCUAUAACCAUAAGAUAUUUUAAGGGACCUAUCCGCUAGUUCUGGGUUGGGGUGACCACGGAGAACAACCUAACCUCCGUAAUGAAAAGAAAUCAUAAUCCAAGAGCUACACCUUUAAGAAUUAACAAAUUAACAUACAGUGAUCCAUUUUAUUGAUCAAUGACCCAAGUUACC
rnacentral:rRNA from 1 species